rnacentral:lncRNA from 11 species
UUUGGCUUAGCUUGAUGGCUCGUUGAGAGCUGAAGAAGUUGUUGCUGGGAGUGGUUACACAGCAUCCUGAGUGCCAAGGAAAACUGCUUAUUUAUGGCAAGAUAAGAACAUUCUACUGAUAACAAAGCAGAGAGACUGUAUUAUUUACUGUAUGUUUGCAUGUCGUCAUUUAAAGAAGACGACUCACCGGAGAUAUUGUUUGUUAUACAUUGCAAAUAGAAACUUUAUGGGACUUAUGGAGGCAAGGUGAACGGUGCAACAGAAGUGGGAACCCCUGGAAAAAUUGAUGUGAUCAAAAUUGAAGAUCCCUGCAGCUACUUUAAGUUUUAAGAAAUUGUCAGCAGUCGGAAUUCUCUUGUGUAACAUGCCAUUUCGCCAUUGGACAAUUCAUAAUAUUUUGUUUUUCUAGGCCACUGCUUCUUAAACUGUAGGUCCUGACCCCAAAUUGGGUCCAUUUGCUCAAUGUUGGGUCGCAAAAAAUUUGACCAACACUGAAAAAUUUCUGAAUGCCACUUAGUGGCUGUUUUAGACAUUUGCACGAAUCUGUUAUUCAGUGUUUGCAGUGGACUCUGCAGAAUAUUUCAGAUGUACUUCAUAAAAAAUAAAAUCAUCAUGUUUAGCAAGCCUUGUAAAAGGCUAAUUAAUUACCAGUAACUGUUUUGUUUUUAUAUCUAUUUAAUAUACCUAUAUACCAGAGUCAUGUAAAAAUAUUCUCUGGCAAAAGGGGUCACAAGUGGAAAAGUUUAAGAAGCCCUCGUUUACAGGAUUCUGAACAUAAUCAGCUUUUUAAACUGAUUUCGGUUUAGAUUAAAACAAGUGUUUGUAAAGAGUAAAAGGAUACUACACAGUGAAGCUGAGAUACAGCC